UUCCUGCAUUCUUGUGAAUAUUUAGGCAUCUCAUUCUAAUUUCUUAAUUUUUUUUACCUUUUUCUGAAUCAAUUCAUGCUGGAAAUAUCUUUAUGUAAAGGUACAUGUACGUGCACA